rnacentral:rRNA from 1 species
UAGGGAAUAAUUGGACAAUGGGCGCAAGCCUGAUCCAGCCAUGCCGCGUGAGUGAAGAAGGCCCUCGGGUUGUAAAGCUCUUUUGUCCGGAAGAAAAGCAUUCGGUUAAUACCCGGGUGUUCUGACGGUACCGGAAGAAUAAGCACCGGCUAACUUCGUGCC